CAUUAGAUGGCUGAAAUGUAAGUAAUGGUCUCUUAAACCAUAAAAUAGUAUAAUUAACACCUACUUCUAAUGA
rnacentral:tRNA from 1 species